GACACUUUGGCCGAGUGGUUAAGGCGACAGACUUGAAUUUUAUCUCCUCAGAUAUGAUUUUCGACAUCUGUUUCAUUCGUGAGCGCAGGUUCGAACCCUGCAGGUGUCG